GGACUUUUGGAUUUGCAUGCAGGAGGUUCUUUGAAACUUUCUGGAUCUGUCAGUCUGGUUCACAGAAAACUGGUUUUAUCAGUAUUGGUCAUGGCAGGAAAAUGGUAGAGUUGAGGCGUUUUUCCUCUGUCACGGAGACAGAGCUGAGGUUUUCGACAGCCCGUGUGAUCUAAUCCAAGCUUCGAGGAGGGAUGGCCACAUCCCAGGGCCCGGCUGGCCACUGGAGCCUGAUGGUGAUUGUGGAGGCUGCUGGUGGAGCCCUGCCCCAGGUUUCCCAGUAUUCAGUGAAACAUGCUAACCAGAAAGAAGACUGUUUAUCCUUUGAGGAUGUGGCUGUGGACUUCUCCUGGGAGGAAUGGACACUGUUUGAUGACUCUCAAAGGAUGCUGCACCAGACUUUGAUGUCAGAAAUAUGAACACUCAUGUCUUUACUUGACUUAUACCUUCUGGGAUCCAUGACAUGACUCAGCUGGAGUCUUGGGGAGAGCCCUCUGUGCCUGCAUUGAGAUUCCUGACUCCAGCUGAAGAAUUCUGAAUCCACAAGAUCCUCGGGUCCUCAUAUGGGCUACCAUAUGUUGCAUCUGCUCUCGACCAGCAAGAACGACAUGACACAGUUGGAUUCUGUUCAACAGCCUUUAUUGCA
rnacentral:lncRNA from 1 species